GAAGGUGCGGCUGGAUCACCUCCUUUCUACGGAGUUUUUCAGGACGCCGGUCUGGCGUCCGUCGUGUGGCCCAUGCGCCGGGGAUGGUUCCCGGUUUUGGUGUGGGCGUGCUGGUGUGGAAGAGAUCGUUGGCUUCGCGGGUUCCCUUGGGGGCCGGCGGGGAGUGGUGCGGAUAUGCUUUUGGGUUCCCGGACCGCCACCCGCGACUUGGUCGCGUGCGGUUUUCCGGAUGCCCCUGGCGGGACGCCGUCGGCCUUGCGGGCCGCGGGUCGGGUCCGGUCGGGGUGCGUGGUGGUUUGAGAACUGGAUAGUGGACGCGAGCAAUGCGAUGAUGUGAUGUCAUCGUUUGCUUUAUCGCGAUUUCGCCAGGCUCUUUUUUGGAGUCUGGUUUCGAGAUCGAUCGUUUUGUGAUCAUUUUUUACAGUGUGAUGAUUUGUCGUCUGGCGUUUGAAGCUAUCAUUAGGGUUUUUCGGGGCGUGUGCCGCCCUGAAGGGCGUAUGGU
rnacentral:misc_RNA from 1 species